rnacentral:rRNA from 2 species
CAACAGGGAUUCCCCUAGUAACGGCGAGUGAAGCGGGAACAGCUCAAAUUUGAAAUCUGGCCCUUGGGUCCGAGUUGUAAUUUGCAGAGGAUGCUUUUGGUGCGGUGCCUUCCGAGUUCCCUGGAACGGGACGCCUUAGAGGGUGAGAGCCCCGUACGGUUGGACACCAAGCCUAUGUAAAGCUCCUUCGACGAGUCGAGUAGUUUGGGAAUGCUGCUCAAAAUGGGAGGUAUAUUUCUUCUAAAGCUAAAUAUUGGCCAGAGACCGAUAGCGCACAAGUAGAGUGAUCGAAAGAUGAAAAGCACUUUGAAAAGAGGGUUAAAUAGCACGUGAAAUUGUUGAAAGGGAAGGAUUUAUGACCAGACUUUUUCUAGGGGGAUCAUCCGGUGUUCUCACCGGUGCACUUCCCCUAGUUGAGGCCAGCAUCGGUUUCUGUCGGGGGAUAAAAGCUUCAGGAAUGUGGCUCCCUCCGGGGAGUGUUAUAGCCUGUUGCAUAAUACCCUGACGGGGACCGAGGUUCGCGCAUUGCAAGGAUGCUGGCGUAAUGGUUAUUAAUCACCCGUCUUGAAACACGGACCAAGGAGUCGAACAUUUGUGCGAGUGUUUGGGUGUUAAACCCUCACGCGUAAUGAAAGUGAACGGAGGUGAGAGCCUUUAGGGGUGCAUCAUCGACCGAUCCUGAUGUCUUCGGAUGGAUUUGAGUAAGAGCAUUAAUGUUCGGACCCGAAAGAUGGUGAACUAUGCGUGGAUAGGGUGAAGCCAGAGGAAACUCUGGUGGAGGCUCGCAGCGGUUCUGACGUGCAAAUCGAUCGUCAAAUCUGCGCAUGGGGCGAAAGACUAA